UCCGGUUUGACACCGGCAGUCUCCUUAGAGUGCCCGGCAUAACCCGCUGGUAACUAAGGACAAGGGUUUCGCUCGUUAAGGGACUUAACCCGACAUCUCACAACACGAGCUGACGACAGCCAUGCAGCACCUGUGUACGUUCCACGGCAAGCCGCGUUACUACCCUUUCAGGUAGCUAAUCCGUACAUGUCAAACCCAGGAUAAGGUUCUUCGCGUAGCCUCGAAUUAAGCCACAUGCUCCACCGCUGGUGUGAGCCCCCGUCAAUUCCUUUGAGUUUCAGCCUUGCGACCAUACUCCCCAGGCGGGGUACUUAACACUUUCGCUACGGCAGGAGGCGCCAUCGGAACGCUUCCUACCCAGUACCCAUCGUUUAAGGCUAGGACUAC
rnacentral:misc_RNA from 1 species